UACGUAGGGGGCCAGUGUUGUCCGGAUUUAUUGGGCGUAAAGAGCGUGUAGGCGGCCAGAUAGGUCUGCUGUGAAAACUCGAGGCUCAACCUCGAGAUGUCGGCGGAAACCAUUUGGCUAGAGUCCGGAAGAGGAGAGUGGAAUUCCUGGUGUAGCGGUGAAAUGCGCAGAUAUCAGGAAGAACACCCGUGGCGAAGGCGGCUUUCUGGGACGGUACUGACGCUGAGACGCGAAAGCGUGGGGAGCGAACAGG
rnacentral:rRNA from 1 species